ACCAUCAUCGUCUAGUGGUUUAGGAUACCAGAUUUCCUUACGUACAGAAAGCUCUGGGGACCGGAGUUUGAACCUUCGUGAUGGUG